GCAGUAAUAGCUCAGCCAGAGCAUCGGUCUUGUAAGCCGAAGGUCGAGGUUUCACCCCCUCUUACAGCU
rnacentral:tRNA from 2 species